rnacentral:sRNA from 1 species
GCCAGGCAGAGUGGUGCCUGCCUAUAAUCCCAGCUACUGGGGAGAUGAGGCAGGAGAAUAGCAAGUUUGAGGCCAAACUUGGCAGGACCCUGUCUCAA